AAAUUGAACUUCCUUUGACAUUGAGCGGGGAAGCCCAACCCAAUCAACUAUCUUUCGGAGGUGUUGUGAAAGCAGAAACUGCAAUGAAGACAGAAGAAGAGGCUGGAAGUUUGAUUAACUUUACUUUUAGGAUAAACAACUUGUGGAAGCCUUUGGCCCAUCCUCUCAAUGCCUCGCUGCACAUUAAGUGGCCCAAAUACAAUAAAGAUGGGAAAUGGCUUCUUUACCUGGUGAAGGUCACAUCUCAUGGACAGGAGAACGUCGUCUGCUUGCCUCAAUCUGAAAUCCACUCGCUCAAAAGCAUUUGGGAGAGUUCUCCAUCAC